rnacentral:rRNA from 1 species
UACGUAGGGGGCAAGCGUUGUCCGGAUUUAUUGGGCGUAAAGAGCGUGUAGGCGGUUUGGUAGGUCCGUUGUGAAAACUCGAGGCUCAACCUCGAGACGCCGAUGGAAACCACCUGGCUAGAGUCCGGAAGAGGAGAGUGGAAUUCCUGGUGUAGCGGUGAAAUGCGCAGAUAUCAGGAAGAACACCCGUGGCUAAGGCGGCUCUCUAGUACGGUACUGACGCUGAGACGCGAAAGCGUGGGGAGCGAACAGG